rnacentral:rRNA from 1 species
CAAUAGCGUAUAUUAAAGUUGUUGCGGUAAAAAAGCUCGUAGUUGGAUUUCUACCGAAGAUAGCCGGUCGGGUCUUCGACCUUGUAUCUGGUUUUGUCUUUGGUAUCCUCAUAGGGAACGUUUCUGCGCUUUAUUGCGUGGUGCGGUAUCUAUGACUUUUACUUUGAGGAAAUUAGAGUGUUCACGGCAGGCAAACGCCUUGAAUAUAUUAGCAUGGAAUAACAACAUAGGAUCUUCGUCCUAUUUUGUUGGUUUCUAGGGCUAAGAUAAUGAUUAAUAGGGAUAAUUGGGGGCAUCUGUAUCAACGCGUCAGAGGUGGAAUUCUUGGAUUGCGUUGCGACAAACUACUGCGAAAGCAUUUGCCAAGGAUGUUUUCAUUGA